GCGAGAGUGGCGGAAUUUGGCAGACGCACCGGACUUAGGCUCCGGCGGGAAUCCCGUGGGGGUUCGAGUCCCCCCUCUCGCA
rnacentral:tRNA from 1 species